AAAAAGAUAAGCUAAAUUAAGCUUUUGGGUUCAUACCCCAAAUAUAAAGUUCCACUUUUCUUUUUA
rnacentral:tRNA from 1 species